UAUAUAAGUAAUCGGGAAGCCGUAAAAUCUCGGAAUGUAUUUGCUCGGAUUGUAUAAUUCUGGAAUAAAAGUGUAUUUUCACGGAAUGUUGAAAUGCGGAAAAAUAAAAUUUAUGAACCGUAUAGUCACGGACCGUAAAAACCUGGAAUCGAAAAAUACGCAAAAACGUAUUUGUACGGAUUGUUUGUUCCCGGAUUGUAAACACUCGGA